UCUGAAACAGAUAACUUCGAAACAGGUAAUUUUUAUUAAUGUCCACAAAAAUGUUACAAACCCUAAUCAGCGUACAACUAGUGCACCGUCAGGUCAUUCCAAGAGGACAUUCCCUUUGUAUACAAGCAAAAACAUGGAAAUAAUGCCACCCAUAAACAAUGCACAAUGUGUACAUCCCCAUACACACCAGUGAGCAAAAAAUAGAAACACAUAAAUAACAAACUACGGCAGAAACCUGUCAGACUGAGCUUUUUCUCCCCCUUAUGCUGCAAGUACUACAGUAGCUCAAGUGUGAACUCUAUCAAGCUUCUGAAGCUGCUGGUAUUCACCAUAACUCUGCAUACAAGAAGACCCACUUCAGUACGACCUGCUUGCAGCUGUCCAUCUCGUCUAC
rnacentral:lncRNA from 1 species